rnacentral:rRNA from 1 species
UACGUAGGGGGCUAGCGUUGUCCGGAAUCAUUGGGCGUAAAGCGCGUGUAGGCGGUUCGGUAAGUCCGCUGUGAAAGUCGGGGGCUCAACCCCUCGGAUGCCGGUGGAUACUGUCGGACUAGAGUACGGAAGAGGCGAGUGGAAUUCCUGGUGUAGCGGUGAAAUGCGCAGAUAUCAGGAGGAACACCGAUUGCGAAGGCAGCUCGCUGGGACGUUACUGACGCUGAGACGCGAAAGCGUGGGGAGCGAACAGG